UCACUUGUAGCUCAGUCGGUAAAGAAUCUGCCUGCAAUGCAGGAGACCUGGGUUAGAUUCCUGGGUGGGGAA
rfam:Ovis aries breed Texel chromosome 3, whole genome shotgun sequence.